rnacentral:lncRNA from 1 species
UUUAGAUGUUACCCCCAAGCCUCUCAAGGUCGUUAGGGCUCCUGAGAUCAUUUCCUGCACUUGCUAGCUGUCUCCGGUCCUGUUCAGGCCUCCAGUGCCUGCUUUUAUUUAUCGAGUUUCAUCUUCGAUCCAAAAAGUGAUCAGAUUGAUGGAGUGCUGGCGGUCAAUCCUUGUGUAGCCUAAGGGCAUUCUGGAGGAAUAUUUUCCCACCAUGAAUUUCUUCUGGUGGACUAUGUGGAGGGAAGGGUCGUCAGAGCUGAGAAAAUGAGCUCUCUCAAGUUCCAGCUGGUAAGGAAAUCAGAAUAGUAAUUGUCCACAUUUAAUAGGUUAGACCACAUUCACUUUUCUAAUGAUGUCUUGUUUUCCUUUUCAGCUGACUGGGAACUAUAACUAUAAUUACAAUUAAAACUAUAUUUACAAUUACAAUUACAACUAAAUCUGUGUUUAGGCCUACUCCAGGUUAUACUGGUUAUACAGACAUUCAAGUAAUGUCUUCUUUAUAAAGGGGGCCGGUUUGUCCGGCAACUCCAAUUUUACCACAAGCGUCGAAUGGUGCGAUAGCUUGCUUCCGGGGUCGAGCCUAUCCAGGCGAAGAAGAUGCUCUCAACUUGCUGAUGCGUCGGUUGCGGUGGUGCUUCAUUGUGUCACAGCGCCUGGGGCGACCAGCUUCAGCUCGCAGAAGGAGGGCUUACACAUUGUAUUAGCGGUAACUUCUGGCUUGAAGGUUGGUGUCAUUUUCUUUCUUCCUGGAAGGCAAGAUUACUUAGUUUAGUUAAGAAGAAUUCCUAUUAUCUAUGUUGGCACUGAUAACUAGGGACUAACAGAACUUAGGAACGCUUGUAAAUCAUUUAGAAUUGAACUAUUGCACGGCCCAGCUCUACCGUCUGGCAAUACAUAUUAAGGUGCUAGCUUAAGCUUAGAAUAAUGAUUUACUGGCUAUAACUUGCUUUGUGUCCGUUAGACAAUAAAAUAGUGUGUCACAA